GACCCAGUAGCGAGAGGCAUCGCAUCGGCGCAGCAUAUGGGUCAUCGCUAUAAGCUUUAAAGCCGGAGAUCCUGGUUCGAAUCCAGGCGGGGUCA